UACGAAGGGGGCUAGCGUUGUUCGGAAUUACUGGGCGUAAAGCGCACGUAGGCGGGUUGUUAAGUCAGGGGUGAAAUCCUGGAGCUCAACUCCCGAACUGCCUUUGAUACUGAGGAGCUCGAGUCCGGAAGAGGUGAGUGGAACUCCGAGUGUAGAGGUGAAAUUCGUAGAUAUUCGGAAGAACACCAGUGGCGAAGGCGGCUCACUGGUCCGGUACUGACGCUGAGGUGCGAAAGCGUGGGGAGCAAACAGG
rnacentral:rRNA from 1 species